rnacentral:lncRNA from 1 species
AUGCACAUGUCAUCACAAGGACGUUUUCCAAGGCUUGUAUUGUGGCUGGACUAACAAGAAAAUUGGUUUUUCUGGAAUACAAAAUUCUUGAGUUAAGAGAGUUUAAAUCAUCAUUCAAAGUUCAAGCACACUCUCUUUUUAACCAAUCUCACUCAUUCCCAACUUUUCCCUUUUUCAUUUUACAUUGAGUUCUUUUUACAUGCAUAAACUCUUUUCUUCUUUUCUUUUCUUUUCACAUGCAUUUUUCUUUUUCAUCUUUUGAACUCAAUGCUUUCCUUUUUCUUUUGCCUUUCAUUUUCCCCAUUCAACC